rnacentral:rRNA from 1 species
AGUGAACGCUGGCGGUAGGCCUAGCACAUGCAAGUCGAACGGCAGCACAGUAAGAGCUUGCUCUUACGGGUGGCGAGUGGCGGACGGGUGAGGAAUACAUCGGAAUCUACUUUUUCGUGGGGGAUAACGUAGGGAAACUUACGCUAAUACCGCAUACGACCUACGGGUGAAAGCAGGGGAUCUUCGGACCUUGCGCGAUUGAAUGAGCCGAUAUCGGAUUAGCUAGUUGGCGGGGUAAAGGCCCACCAAGGCGACGAUCCGUAGCUGGUCUGAGAGGAUGAUCAGCCACACUGGAACUGAGACACGGUCCAGACUCCUACGGGAGGCAGCAGUGGGGAAUAUUGGACAAUGGGCGCAAGCCUGAUCCAGCCAUACCGCGUGGGUGAAGAAGGCCUUCGGGUUGUAAAGCCCUUUUGUUGGGAAAGAAAAGCAGCAGGUUAAUACCCCGCUGUUCUGACGGUACCCAAAGAAUAAGCACCGGCUAACUUCGUG